AUGCACGCUGGCGGCGUGCUUAACACAUGCAAGUCGAACGGUGAAGGCGGAGCUUGCUCUGCUGGAUCAGUGGCGAACGGGUGAGUAACACGUGAGCAAUCUGCCCCUGACUCUGGGAUAAGCGCUGGAAACGGCGUCUAAUACUGGAUACGAGCUGCGAAGGCAUCUUCAGCAGCUGGAAAGAACUUCGGUCAGGGAUGAGCUCGCGGCCUAUCAGCUUGUUGGUGAGGUAACGGCUCACCAAGGCGUCGACGGGUAGCCGGCCUGAGAGGGUGACCGGCCACACUGGGACUGAGACACGGCCCAGACUCCUACGGGAGGCAGCAGUGGGGAAUAUUGCACAAUGGGCGAAAGCCUGAUGCAGCAACGCCGCGUGAGGGACGACGGCCUUCGGGUUGUAAACCUCUUUUAGCAGGGAAGAAGCGAAAGUGACGGUACCUGCAGAAAAAGCGCCGGCUAACUACGUG
rnacentral:rRNA from 1 species